rnacentral:rRNA from 1 species
AUACAGAGGGUGCGUGCGUUAAUCGGAAUUACUGGGCGUAAAGCGCGCGUAGGCGGCUUAUUAAGUCAGAUGUGAAAUCCCCGGGCUCAACCUGGGAACUGCAUCUGAUACUGGUAAGCUAGAGUUUUGGAGAGGGAAGUAGAAUUUCAGGUGUAGCGGUGAAAUGCAUAGAGAUCUGAAGGAAUACCAGUGGCGAAGGCGACUUCCUGGCCAAAAACUGACGCUGAGGUGCGAAAGCGUGGGUAGCAAACGGGAUUAGAUACCCUAGUAGUCC